GCCCCUUUUAGGGGCAGAUCAAGCUCCAUCUGCCCGGGUUUAGAGUUGUCCUUCUCUUCUGUGUCCUCUGAGGCUCCUCCUCUCAUCUCCCA